GGCCCCCAUCUUUUAUUCAUAGCGUCUCUCAUGGUGCUGGAAGGCAGACUGUGUUGCCAUAGCAAUGCCCUGCAUAUCCCUGUGGAUAGCUUACAAUUUUACUUUUUUAAAAAAAUCCAACAACAAAAAGCCAUUGAUAACACAUGUUGCCAAAGGUUACAGAAGUUGAAUGCUAAAAUGGAAAUAUUUCUCCUUUAUAGAGUUGCACUGUGGAUGCAUCCUGCAAAUUCAAAGAAACAGGAUGCACUGCCUCUACAUAUGGAAUUGGCCUCUCCUAUAAUGAGACCUUUAAAGGCACUUUCCUGCAAUCCCAUCCUUUUUCCUUAGGAAUCUUCUCUGCUAAGAAAGAAGAAGAAAAGGUAAAAACAUGGAAAGACUGUAAACUGAAGAAGUCAUUGUCUGGACUUCCUCUAAAGUGCCAUGAAUGAAAAAAAUGCAUUUGCACAGUAAAGGCCUGGCCUGGAAUUAGGCUUGAUGGCAACAUGUUAUCACCAGGAUCAAAGGCAGUAUAUUUCUGAAUAUCACUUGCUUUGGAUCAACAGUGGAAUGGAAUGUUGUCCUUGAGUUCUGUUUGUGGCUUGCCUUCCAUUUUGUGUAAAAUUGAUGUUGGCCACUGAGGAAAAAGGGAUGUUGGACUAGAUCAUGGUUGGUGUGACCCAACAGAGCCUUCCCCCAACACGACCUUAUAUUUUUAUUGUUUUCUCUGACAACUGGAACCUCAUUCAUUCAAUCUUUAUUAUGGUUAUUGAUCAGCGUAAUGAGGAUGGGUUACAAACAGUUGAUAUGCCCAUUACAAACUUGAUUUAAGCCAUAACCCAAAUUGAACAUCAAUCUAAAAUUUAACAAGUAACCUUACAUUGAUUCUAAUAAAACCAAAAUAUAAGAAUCCA
rnacentral:lncRNA from 1 species